UGGUAAACGAUGUCCGAAUGCAUAGACAACCAAGAGGUUGGCUUAGAAGCAGCCACCCUUGAAAGAGUGCGUAACAGCUCACUGGUCAAGUGUUCGGGCGCGGAUAAUGUAACGGGGCUAAAGCUAGUCACCGAAACUAUGGGUUCAUGAGCGGUAGGAGAGCGUUCUCAAAGUAUAAGCGUUGGCGUAAGCCUUCGUGCGGUGCUGAGAAGUGAGAAUGCAGGCAUGAGUAACGAAAGAGGAGUGAGAAUCUCCUCCACCGAUUGUCCGAGGUUUCCUGAGUAAAGUUCGUCUGCUCAGGGUUAGUCUGGACCUAAGGCGAGGCCGAAAGGCGUAGUCGAUGGAUAACAGGUUGAUAUUCCUGUACCACGUUGGAUCCGUUACCACCGAUGGGGGGACGGGGAAGGGUAAGAGAACCCAGGCGAUGGUCGUCCUGGGGCAAGCACGUAGCCAGUCGCUGUAGGUAAAUCCGCAGUGACGUUCACGCGAGGUGCGAUGCCAGCUGGAUUUAGUUCCGGCCAGUCUCCGAGCCCAUGCCUCCUAGAAAAGCCUCUAGGGAGGAUCCAUGUGCCAGUACCGAUAACCGACACAGGUGGACACGUAGAAGAUACUAAGGUGAGCGAGAUAACCAUCGUUAAGGAACUCGGCAAAAUCGCCCCGUAACUUCGGGAUAAGGGGCGCCUCGAUAGGGUGAAAUCCAUACGGAUGGAGCUCGAGGAGGCCGCAGUGAAUUGGUCCAACCGACUGUUUACCAAAAACACAGGGCUCUGCUAAGUCGCAAGACGACGUAUAGGGUCUGACGCCUGCCCGGUGCUGGAAGGUUACGCGGACUUGUUAGCUCUUCGGAGCGAAGCAAUGAAGCUAAGCCCCAGUAAACGGCGGCCGUAACUAUAACGGUCCUAAGGUAGCGAAAUUCCUUGUCGGGUAAGUUCCGACCUGCACGAAUGGCGUAACGAGUUGGACGCUGUCUCAACGAUGGACUCGGUGAAAUUGGAGUCUCGGUGAAGAUACCGAGUACCCGCAUCAAGACGGAAAGACCCCGUGAACCUUUACUACAACUUGAUAUUGGAGUUUGGUGUGUUCUGUUCAGGAUAGGAGGGAGACAGUGAACCAGCGGCUGCGGCUGCUGGGGAGUCAACCUUGAGAUACCUCCCUUGACAUACCGGGCUUCUAACACUGUGCCGUAAUCCGGGCAGUGAACAGUGUCAGGCGGGUAGUUUGACUGGGGCGGUCGCCUCCUAAAAUGUAACGGAGGCGCCCAAAGGUUCCCUCAGUACGGUUGGAAAUCGUGCGUAGAGUGUAAAGGCAACAAGGGAGCUUGACUGCGAGACCGACGGGUCGAGCAGGAACGAAAGUUGGGCUUAGUGAUCCGGCGGUUGCAAGUGGAAGCGCCGUCGCUCAACGGAUAAAAGGUACUCCGGGGAUAACAGGCUUAUCGCUUCCAAGAGUCCAUAUCGACGAAGCGGUUUGGCACCUCGAUGUCGGCUCGUCGCAUCCUGGGGCGGGAGUACGUCCCAAGGGUUGGGCUGUUCGCCCAUUAAAGCGGCACGCGAGCUGGGUUCAGAACGUCGUGAGACAGUUCGGUCCCUAUCUGAUGUGGGCGUUGGAGAAUUGAGAGGAUUUGCCCCUAGUACGAGAGGACCGGGGUGAACGUGCCUCUGGUGUAGCUGUUGUCCUGCCAAGGGCACCGCAGCUUAGCUACGCACGGAACGGAUAACCGCUGAAGGCAUCUAAGCGGGAAGCCGUCCUCGAGAUGAAUUCUCCCAUCCCCUUGAGGGAGUAAGACCCCUGGUAGACCACCAGGUUGAUAGGCCGGCGGUGGAAGGGUGGUAACACCUGUAGCUGACCGGUACUAAUGGGUCGAGGGCUUGACGGA
rnacentral:rRNA from 1 species